GGGUCCAGGCCAGCUGCUAGACGUGGCUGCCGACGGCGCAGGCUCCCGUAAGCAAGGUGUGUGGUGCCUGCUAUCACAGGAGAAGGACAGGGGGUUUGGACGUGCGUAGUGCUGGACGUCCCGUAACUGGGAGGCCAGGUCCGCUGCCAUAGCCAGCCAGUCGGAGAGGUGCCCCUGUAAGCAGGGUGGACGUAGCCUCCUUGCGCUGGCGUGAGCGAGCCAGAGCAGUCUGCAGCGCAGUGCCACAGGGCAGCCUUGCAGACAGGAGCCGAGUCUCGUGGGGUGAUGGCAAACUCCUUAGACCCCAGAGCUGGAUGACCCUCCUGUGGCUGGGUUGAAGCUAGUGGCCUCCUCUCCGAUCCCUGUGUCCAGGCACCGGUCCUCCUUCCUGCAUCUAUGCCUGGCACUCCACAUCCGGAUGGCUGGGCCACCCUGUAAUGAGGGUGCGAGUCCCACGCCCCUGGUGGAGGGCUGGGGUCUGCAGAGCUGUGGACCACCCUGUAAGCAGGGUCCAGGUCUCACUGUGCCUCUGGGGACAGCUCUGUCCUUUGCCUGGCUAUCAGCUCUCCCUGUAAGCAGGGCUGUAGGCCUUUCCCUUUUGCCCCUUGUGGGCAGUGUGACUAGUCAGGCAGGCCGGGCCCUGUAAGGCGGGUGCCGGUCUCAGCCUUCUUGCCCCCUGGAAGCGGAGGAGGAUUUUCCCGUGGAAGGCUGGAGGUGAAGCGGUUUGCGGCAUGGAGCUCCUUUCCAGCCUGGGAACAGUCUUUUUACCCGUGUGAGAGUGUGGAUGACGAGAGAGAGGAGUGCCUGGGAACAAAAGCAUUUAUUUUCUUUAUGUUCUUAAAAUCGCUGCAGCGUACUUUGUUUUCUUCCCAGUGCUGGAAAAGGGGUGAGAUGCGUCCUCGUUGCCUUCUCCUCCCACCUCUUCCCCUAGGGGGUUAAGCACUGCUAUUAAUUCUUGUGCCUUCUGGCCUGGGGGUGCAUUAGGCCACCCCUAAUCACUUUGGAAAAAAGACCUCAGUGUAUCUCAGGGUAGGGGCCUCCUUUUGUUGGGUGACUAGCAUGUUCUUGUGGUCACUCAGUAGCUCGCAUGAAGGGUUACUGCCGUCAUUUUUGAGAGCAGGCUAUGUAUUCCAUCCCCAAGUCCUUGGCGAGACGAGCGCCCUGGCACUUGGCCGGCUGUUUUUCGGCACCCCCACGCCCGGCCUGCAGCCUGUAAGCAGGGUGCAGGUCCCUUUGAUUCUCUACUUCUCGUUCCACUUGGAGAGGCCAGCCAGAGAUGAUACCCACGGAUUGCAGGAAAAGUUGCAGGCUUCUGGAAGAUACUGAGUGUGUUGGGACCCCAAGGCUUCCUGACCUUCCUGUAACUUGGGUCCAGGUCUCUGCUCCUCUGCUCUGCUGCUCCUGGCGCUAUUGAGACGGCCUCCCGCGGCACCCUGUAAGCAGGGCUGCGCCCCCACCCCUUCUGGCCGUGGGGGGAAGAGACAUUGUUUAGACCUUUGGCCUCCGUUGGUUCUGUGAUGGGAGCCUGAAGUUGUGGCCCUCUUGUGCUCUGGACACACGGGGCAGCUUUGACCCCUGAUCGAGACCUCCCGAUGCAGCUGUCAGCUGACAUUCGGGGCUUUGCAGGUUGUCUCCGGGCUUCAUACCCCAGCAGCCAGCUGUGUGCAGGGAGCACCGCCCUGUAAGCAGGGUUGCCGGUGCUUGCGGUCACCGUUCAUGGUGCCGCCCGAGCAGUUCUGUCCGGAGUUCUGGCCCAUCGCACUCUGCUCCUGGCUGGAUGUCAGAGGCCGAACCUGCAGACGUCUGCUCUUCCCACUUUGCACGGACUGACGAUGGAGUGGCAGCAGGUCCAUUCACAGGCCCCAGAAGGAGAAGCAGGGAAAUGGCAGACGAGCAGGAGUUAGCCACCAAGGAGGGAAGAGACCCACGUCAGCCCACCCGGAGGGAAGGUAAAGGAGUUCGAACACAGUGUCUGUCCUCUCUGCAAGUUGCAUCCCCAAGUUGCCGACCUUGUGAUGAACAUGUCGUGGAAGGUUUGGAGCAGUGGGACCCCCUUAUACACAGGAUUCGUGCCUUAGGUCCUCCUGUUGUCAUACACGGGUCCCUGAAGGGCAGCUGGACAAGAGCGAACGGAAGCAGGAAAAGAAGCUGGGGAACAAAU